UACGUAGGCAGCGAGCGUUGUUCGGAGUUACUGGGCGUAAAGGGUGCGUAGGCGGUUGUUUUAAGUUUGGUGUGAAAUCUCCCGGCUCAACUGGGAGGGUGCGCCGAAUACUGAAUGACUAGAGUGCGGGAGAGGAUAGUGGAAUUCCUGGUGUAGCGGUGAAAUGCGUAGAUAUCAGGAGGAACACCGGUGGUGUAGACGGCUAUCUGGACCGUAACUGACGCUGAGGCACGGAAAGCCGUGGGUAGCAAACACGG
rnacentral:rRNA from 1 species